rnacentral:ncRNA from 1 species
CUAGUGUCUAUGAUGAAGAGAGUAGCAAAGGGCUCUUUCCUAAAAGCGAGACAGGGACGGUGCAAGCCUGUCGGGAAAUCCUUUCGUGAAGCGCACUUCGGAGAUGCAUAGCUGAAAGAAAAGUAGGCUAUGCCGGGUAAGGAGUCCCGUUACCAAACCCCUUUAGGAAAUACGUUCAAGCAUAUUUUGAAACGUCCUUUCAAAAGAGGUCCUUUGGACAAUCAGAGUGGUACCGCGGGUAGAUUUCAGUUCGUCUCUAUU